UUCCCUGUGGCUCAGUUGGUAGAGCAUGGUGUUUGCAAUGACAGGGUUGUGGGUUCAAUUCCCACAGGGGGGC
rnacentral:tRNA from 1 species